rnacentral:rRNA from 1 species
GACGAACGCUGGCGGCGUGCUUAACACAUGCUAGUCGAACGGAAAGGCCCUGCUUUUGUGGGGUGCUCGAGUGUCGAACGGGUGAGUAACACGUGAGUAACCUGCCCUUGACUUUGGGAUAACUUCAGGAAACUGGGGCUAAUACCGGAUAGGAGCUCCUGCUGCAUGGUGGGGGUUGGAAAGUUUCGGCGGUUGGGGAUGGACUCGCGGCUUAUCAGCUUGUUGGUGGGGUAGUGGCUUACCAAGGCUUUGACGGGUAGCCGGCCUGAGAGGGUGACCGGCCACAUUGGGACUGAGAUACGGCCCAGACUCCUACGGGAGGCAGCAGUGGGGAAUAUUGCACAAUGGGCGGAAGCCUGAUGCAGCAACGCCGCGUGCGGGAUGACGGCCUUCGGGUUGUAAACCGAUUUCGCCUGUGACGAAGCGUGAGUGACGGUAAUGGGUAAAGAAGCACCGGCUAACUACGUG